ACUUGAAUUCUAAUGUGGUGUUUUGUCUUGGUUUUUGUAGGUGUCUACAUGUGGUGAAACUCUCUUCAAGGUUUAUGUGAAGAGGCCACUUGGUGACCAAACAACCUCUAAGUGAAGCAAUCUGGUGGAUGUCUGUCUCUAAGGGGUGUAUACAAAGGAAGAUUCUUCAAAGACUUGAAUGUUUCCCUGGCCUAAUGUUUCUUUUGAUCGAAUUGUAAAUAUCAAGUAAUAAAAGGUUGAACUUUAAUGUGAA